UCUGCUUCUACGUCAUCUUCCUCGGCGGGUUCUUCCGCUGGUUCUACUUUUGCUCCGGUGGCUUGAAGAACUCAGAGCGCAGUUUCGAUGCGGACGCGGUGGCACUGGCGGAGCAGAUCUAGAAGGCGAGCGAGCGGGAGUCUCUGGAAGCUUCGAUUGAAGCUGCGAUAGUGUGAUCGAAGCUAUCAAAUCUUAUGGAACUAAUUCUCAUGUCGUUCUGAGUCACUGAGGGCCUGCUAUGGUGUUUUGAGGUUUGUUAUGGAAAAUGGCGCCAAGGGAUGUGAGGUCAUUGUUAGUGGCAAGUUGAGGGCUCAGUGCUAAAUCCAUGAAGUUCAAGGACGGGUACAUGAUUUCCUCAGGGCAACCAGUCAAGGACUACAUUGAUUCUGUGUAAGACAUGUACUCCUUAGGCAGGUUGGAAGAGUUUGCUUGUUGUAACAGAUUAGCUUACAAGAGAAUUGUAAUUAUUCAAUUUUUAGGUAUGAAUUAGGUGUUAAAGAUCUACUUGUUAUUUAUUUCUGAUUAAUCAAUUAAUUAAUAUGCAAAACUAGUGUAAAGAUCUCAAGUUCUAAAUCUGGUGUAAGAAGUUGCUUAGGAUUUUGAUGUAAUGAUAAUAAAUUUGGUGUAAUACCAGAAAAUUGCUAGCAUUAGCCAUUCACACGCAAUCAUUUUCCUUUUGUAGUGAAUCAAUGAAGUUUGUGAUUUUUAUGCUAGAGUAAUAUAUUAUGUUUCUGUUGAAUAUGCAGAGCAAAAGAAGCAAAAAUUUUUUGGUACCACUGAUUUUAGUCUAAUGAAGAUAGAUGAUAAAGGAAGGAUUCUCUCAUUCAGUGAAAAGUCCAAAGGAAAAUUAUCGUACUAUAGAGAGAGCAUUCAAAUAAAGAUUAUUUUUAUGGAUUUGUUUUGCUUUGUCUUUGGAGGUGAAUUUGUUUUUAAUGAUGGUGUUUUCUACUUUUAUGUCAAAUUCUUGUACUCAUAACUGUCAUGAUAGAUUCAACUAUAUAGACCUUUAUCUACUGAAGAUAAAUUUUAGAGUAUACUUCAUAUAGAACAUACAAGCUUCUAUGCUCCUGAAAUCUUUUAUGGACCUGCCAUAUAAUUUGGCAUAAAUUUCUGCACUCCUUUGUUACUCUACGGAACCAAGUUAUUAUUUAUUAGGUGAUUCCUUUAUACUUUCUUUCAUUGCUAGGCAUAAACUUCAAAAAUCUUGGCCCAGAAAUUGACCAUUGUAGUAAGUUAUCUUGCCACACACAUACCACUAUAUCUUACUCAUCCAGCCAUGCAUAAAUGAGGUAAUGAACCUAAAAAAAUUCCUUGCAGGCCCUGCAACAUAUAAGACAGAUUGCACAAGAAUCUAGCGGAGAAAUUCAGUAUGGUGGGGGACGCCAGCCUGCUGUGUUAAGGACAUUUAGCCAGAGACUCUGCCGGGGGUUCAAUGAUGCUGUUAAUGGGUUUGUGGAGGAUGGUUGGUCACUGCUAGGCAAUGAUGGGGUAGAAGAUGUGACUAUAGCUAUAAACUCAUCUCCCAACAAAUUUUUGGGGUCCCAGUACAAUUCAUCAAUGUUCCCAGCUUUUGGAGGUGGGGUUCUAUGUGCCAAGGCAUCCAUGCUG